UACGGAGGGUGCAAGCGUUAAUCGGAAUUACUGGGCGUAAAGCGUGCGUAGGUGGUUAAUUAAGUUAUCUGUGAAAUCCCUGGGCUUAACCUGGGCAGGUCAGAUGAUACUGGUUGACUCGAGUAUGGGAGAGGGUAGUGGAAUUUCCGGUGUAGCGGUGAAAUGCGUAGAGAUCGGAAGGAACACAAGUGGCGAAGGCGGCUACCUGGCCUAAUACUGACACUGAGGCACGAAAGCGUGGGGAGCAAACAGG
rnacentral:rRNA from 1 species